UAGGGAAUAUUGGACAAUGGGCGCAAGCCUGAUCCAGCCAUGCCGCGUGCGGGAUGAAUGCCCUAUGGGUUGUAAACCGCUUUUCUAAGGGAAGAAACCCCCGAUCUCCAUCGGGGCUGACGGUACCUUAGGAAUAAGCACCGGCUAACUCCGUGCCAGCAGCCGCGGUAAUACGGAGGGUGCAAGCGUUAUCCGGAAUCACUGGGUUUAAAGGGUGCGCAGGCGGACCGGUAAGUCAGUGAUGAAAGGUCUGAGCUCAACUCAGAAAUUGCCAUUGAUACUGUCGGUCGUGAGUGCAGUUGAGGCAAGCGGAAUGCGUCAUGUAGCGGUGAAAUGCAUAGAUAUGACGCAGAACACCGAUUGCGAAGGCAGCUUGCUAAACUGUAACUGACGCUGAGGCACGAAAGCGUGGGGAGCGAACA
rnacentral:rRNA from 1 species